UCCUCCCGUGCUGUACCAAUUAAACAGC
rnacentral:piRNA from 1 species